GACGAACGCUGGCGGUGUGCUUAACACAUGCAAGUCGAACGGAAAGGCCCUGCUUUUGUGGGGUGCUCGAGUGGCGAACGGGUGAGUAACACGUGAGUAACCUGCCCUACACUUUGGUAUAACUUCAGGAAACUGGGGCUAAUACCGUAUAGCAGCUCCUGUUGCAUGGUGGGGGUUGGAUAGUUUCGGCGGUUGGGGAUGGACUCGCGGCUUAUCAGCUUGUUGGUGGGGUAGUGGCUUACCAAGGCUUUGACGGGUCGCCGGCAUGAGAGGGUGACCGGCGACAUUGGGACUGAGAGACGGCCCAGACUCCUACGGGAGGCAGCAGGGGGAAAUAUGACACAAUGGGCGGAAGCCGGAUGCGGAAACGCCGCGUGCGGGAUGACGGCCUUCGGGGUGAAAAACGCUGUAGCCUGAGACGAAGCGGGAGUGACGGUAAUGGGUAAAGAAGCACCGGCUAACUACGUG
rnacentral:rRNA from 1 species